GAUGUGUUCUGUUUAGCGUUAUGCUCAUUAUACUGGACGUGUUGGAAAUCUUGAACCUCGAAGUGGAGAAGUUAGCUCUCUCCAGAGUUAAUUUUGUGCGGCGUCAAGCAGAAAACCUCGGAGCCCCCACCGCAGGCAUCCAGAGUGAACACAUUCAUGCACAACGGCGCCUCCACCAGGCAACAAUUAUGACCUCAUUAAGCUGGGUCAGCCGCACCGCGGGGCCUGGCGUUCCGCUCUUCUGUGAGCAUGUUUAAUGAGAUGAAAAUGUAUUUGGGACAAUAAAAUCCAUUUACACA